CAGCCGCCACGGGAAUACGAAGGGUGCAAGCGUUAAUCGGAAUUACUGGGCGUAAAGCGCGCGUAGGUGGUUUGGUAAGAUGGAUGUGAAAUCCCCGGGCUCAACCUGGGAACUGCAUCCAAAACUGGCAAGCUAGAGUAUGGUAGAGGGUGGUGGAAUUUCCUGUGUAGCGGUGAAAUGCGUAGAUAUAGGAAGGAACACCAGUGGCGAAGGCGACCACCUGGACUGAUACUGACACUGAGGUGCGAAAGCGUGGGGAGCAAACAGGAUUAGAUACCCCGGUGGUCCCUGUCUCUUAUAC
rnacentral:rRNA from 1 species